rnacentral:rRNA from 1 species
AGUCGAGCGGUAGAGAGGUGCUUGCACCUCUUGAGAGCGGCGGACGGGUGAGUAAUGCCUAGGAAUCUGCCUGGUAGUGGGGGAUAACGCUCGGAAACGGACGCUAAUACCGCAUACGUCCUACGGGAGAAAGCAGGGGACCUUCGGGCCUUGCGCUAUCAGAUGAGCCUAGGUCGGAUUAGCUAGUUGGUGAGGUAAUGGCUCACCAAGGCGACGAUCCGUAACUGGUCUGAGAGGAUGAUCAGUCACACUGGAACUGAGACACGGUCCAGACUCCUACGGGAGGCAGCAGUGGGGAAUAUUGGACAAUGGGCGAAAGCCUGAUCCAGCCAUGCCGCGUGUGUGAAGAAGGUCUUCGGAUUGUAAAGCACUUUAAGUUGGGAGGAAGGGCAGUUACCUAAUACGUAAUUGUUUUGACGUUACCGACAGAAUAAGCACCGGCUAACUCUGUGCCAGCAGCCGCGGUAAUACAGAGGGUGCAAGCGUUAAUCGGAAUUACUGGGCGUAAAGCGCGCGUAGGUGGUUCGUUAAGUUGGAUGUGAAAGCCCCGGGCUCAACCUGGGAACUGCAUUCAAAACUGUCGAGCUAGAGUAUGGUAGAGGGUGGUGGAAUUUCCUGUGUAGCGGUGAAAUGCGUAGAUAUAGGAAGGAACACCAGUGGCGAAGGCGACCACCUGGACUGAUACUGACACUGAGGUGCGAAAGCGUGGGGAGCAAACAGGAUUAGAUACCCUGGUAGUCCACGCCGUAAACGAUGUCAACUAGCCGUUGGGAGCCUUGAGCUCUUAGUGGCGCAGCUAACGCAUUAAGUUGACCGCCUGGGGAGUACGGCCGCAAGGUUAAACUCAAUGAAUUUGACGGGGGCCCGCACAAGCGG